rnacentral:rRNA from 1 species
CGCUGUGGUCCCACCCGUUCCCAUCCCGAACACGGAAGUGAAACGCAGCCGCGCCGAUGGUAGUGUGGCUUAAGCCAUGCAAGAGUAGGUCAUCGCCAGGG